GACGAACGCUGGCGGCGUGCUUAACACAUGCAAGUCGAACGGAAAGGCCCUGCUUUUGUGGGGUGCUCGAGUGGCGAACGGGUGAGCAACACGUGAGUAACCUGCCCCUGACUUUGGGAUAUCUUCAUGAAACUGGGGCUAAUACCGGAUAGGAGCUCCUGCUGCAGGGUGGGGGUUGGAAAGUUUCGGCGGUUGGGGAUGGACUAGCGGCUUAUCAGCUUGUUGGUGGGGUAGUGGCUUACCAAGGCUUGGACGGGUAGCCGGGCUGAGAGGAUGACCGGCCACAUUGGGCCUGAGAUACGGCCCAGACUCCUCCGGGAGGCAGCAGUGGGGAAUAUUGCACAAUGGGCGGAAGCCUGAUGCAGCAACGCCGCGUGGGGGAUGUCGGCAUUCGGGUUGUAAACCGCUUUCGCCUGUGACGAAGCGUGAGUGACGGUAAUGGGUAAAGAAGCACCGGCUAACUACGUG
rnacentral:rRNA from 1 species